UUUAACCCCCUCCCCUACUA
rnacentral:tRNA from 1 species